rnacentral:rRNA from 1 species
CUGGCGGCAUGCUUAACACAUGCAAGUCGAACGGAAACGAUGGAGCUUGCUCCAGGCGUCGAGUGGCGGACGGGUGAGUAACGCAUGGGAAUCUGCCUUUUGCUGGGGGAUAACGUAGGGAAACUUACGCUAAUACCGCAUAAGACCUAAGGGUGAAAGCGGGGGACCGAAAGGCCUCGCGGCAAGAGAUGAGCCCAUGUUGGAUUAGCUAGUUGGUGGGGUAAAGGCCUACCAAGGCGACGAUCCAUAGCUGGUCUGAGAGGAUGAUCAGCCACACUGGGACUGAGACACGGCCCAGACUCCUACGGGAGGCAGCAGUGGGGAAUAUUGGACAAUGGGGGGAACCCUGAUCCAGCAAUGCCGCGUGUGUGAAGAAGGCCUUCGGGUUGUAAAGCACUUUCAGUAGGGAGGAAAGGUGCGUAGUUAAUACCUGCGCAAUUGACGUUACCUACAGAAGAAGCACCGGCUAACUCCGUGCCAGCAGCCGCGGUAAUACGGAGGGUGCGAGCGUUAUUCGGAAUUACUGGGCGUAAAGCGCACGCAGGCGGUUGC